CGAAAUUGAAGCUUCUUGACGAUAUAACGGCAUCACCAUCGAAUCUUGAUAGAACGGUAUUUUUCCAGGACACAUCGUGUAAAAAUUUGAUCGUAUCAUUUACUUCGAGACAUGUGCAUGUGCCAUCGAAUCGGCUGUGACGUGGAAUCCGAACCGUGAUGUUUUUGUAUUGUUCUCUUCACCUGUGGGCUUGUCUUCAAAUGGACAGGCCAAUUCACCAGUAUUGAAAGCAUUGACGACGAACUCAAACAUUCAUUAUCGCAACGUCGAUUGGUAUAAAGAACGAAACGUAAAUUCUUGCAGAUUUUUAUACCAUUGUGCUUUCAAGCAGUAGUGGAGAAUAUACGGACUCGAAUACACUGUACUGCAGUACUAUUGAUUGGCUUCUGUCUAUCUACAAAUUCGGUGGAAUUCAUUUCGACUUGGAUAUUAUUGUUCAAUCGACUUUGAAGAUUUUCCACCCAACUUUAUCGGUGCGCAAGACGCUGAAGAAAUACAAAAUUCAGUUUUUGGCUUUGAAUCGAGAGGUUGGUCACAAAAUUGUUGAAUUGUUUCUAAGGAAUUUUACGGUUUACAAAAUUCAGUUUUUGGCUUUGAAUCGAGAGAUGUUGGUCAC